rnacentral:rRNA from 1 species
AUUGAACGCUGGCGGCAGGCUUAACACAUGCAAGUCGAGCGGUAACAGAGAGAAGCUUGCUUCUCUGCUGACGAGCGGCGGACGGGUGAGUAAUGCCUAGGAAUCUGCCUAGUAGUGGGGGAUAACUUGCCGAAAGGUAAGCUAAUACCGCAUACGUCCUACGGGAGAAAGGAGGGGACCUUCGGGCCUUUCGCUAUUAGAUGAGCCUAGGUCGGAUUAGUUAGUUGGUGAGGUAAUGGCUCACCAAGACCGCGAUCCGCAACUGGUCUGAGAGGAUGAUCAGUCACACUGGAACUGAGACACGGUCCAGACUCCUACGGGAGGCAGCAGUGGGGAAUAUUGGACAAUGGGGGGAACCCUGAUCCAGCCAUGCCGCGUGUGUGAAGAAGGUCUUAGGAUUGUAAGGCACUUUAAGUUGGGAGGAAGAGCAGUUAACUAAUAUUUGACUGUUUUGACGUUACCGACAGAAUAAGCACCGGCUAACUUCGUGCCAGCCGCCGCGGUAA